UUUGGAUAAAUCUUUUACUUCAUAUUAUUUUUUAUUAAUUUCAGAUAAUUUCUACUUCCUACACUCAGUUCAGAUUUCUUUACAGCAAUGGAUUAUGACUUAUUAGAUAAUGUCACAUUUUGUCAUAUGGGUUUAGUUGUUUAGUUGAUACAGUUUUUUUUGUUUUUAGUGUUGUUGUUAAAGUAUUUGAUUUAGCUCUCGAACAUUGAAGUUUUUGGAAAUGGUUUGUGUAGAGCACUUCUUUAUAUUCUAACACUUGAUAUCUCUUUUAUUUUUUAUAUUUGUAACAGGUUAAGUUUUAAAACGAUUGUACUCUAAACUGGUCGAAUAUUGCUUUUGGUAGUUUCAUCACAAGUGUAUAUGGAUCUGAUUAUCUCUUUGUCUUCUCGAUUUUGCUUGACUGGUUAUCAUCAUGUAAGAUUUUAUAAUUGAAUUUGAAUCUAUUGGCGAAGAGAUUAAAAUGUGGUGUUGUGUAUUUAUAUAUAUAUAUAUUUUUGUUAAAAGAUAUUAUUUUUUAAAAUAUUUUUAGUUAAAAAUAAGGACAGCUUUGCCAUUGUUGUUUGUUCGGCUAACUUAUUUUUUUUUUAAUUUUCUUUAUUGUGUCUUCUAAAAUAUCUGUUUUUCUUCGACAUCAAAACAUCAUCUAACAAGUACAAUAAACAAUUUAAUCUUAACAGUUUCCAUAUAACGAUUUUAAAGUGAAACAUUGCAUAACCUAAAACUAUGUACAUAAG
rnacentral:lncRNA from 1 species